rnacentral:tRNA from 2 species
AGGGGCGUAGCUCAGUUGGCCAGAGCGGCGGUCUCCAAAACCGCAUGUCGCAGGUUCGAAUCCUGUCGCCCCUG